GUAGGGUGCGAGCGUUGUCCGGAAUUAUUGGGCGUAAAGAGCUCGUAGGCGGUUUGUCGCGUCGGCCGUGAAAACUUGGGGCUUAACUCCAAGCUUGCGGUCGAUACGGGCAGACUUGAGUUCGGCAGGGGAGACUGGAAUUCCUGGUGUAGCGGUGAAAUGCGCAGAUAUCAGGAGGAACACCGGUGGCGAAGGCGGGUCUCUGGGCCGAUACUGACGCUGAGGAGCGAAAGCGUGGGGAGCGAACAGGAUUAGAUACCCUGGUAGUCCACGCCGUAAACGGUGGGUGCUAGGUGUGGGGGGCUUCCACGCCCUCUGUGCCGCAGCUAACGCAUUAAGCACCCCGCCUGGGGAGUACGGCCGCAAGGCUAAA
rnacentral:rRNA from 1 species